GUCUUUUUGAAUUAAAUUUAAAGUCUAACCUGCCCACUGAAAUUUUAAAUGGCCGCAGUAUUCUAACUGUGCAAAGGUAGCAUAAUCAUUAGUCUUUUAAUUGAAGGCUGGAAUGAAUGGUUGGACGAGAUAUUAACUGUUUCAUUUUAAUUUUUUUUAGAAUUUUAUUUUUUAGUCAAAAAGCUAAAAUUUAUUUAAAAGACGAGAAGACCCUAUAAAUCUUUAUAUUUUAUUUAUUUUAAUUACAAAGAUUAUUUUUAUUAUAAUAAAUUAAAAUAUUUUAUUGGGGUGAUAUUAAAAUUUAAAAAACUUUUAAUUUUUAAAAAUCAUUAAUUUAUGAAUAAUUGAUCCAUUAAUAGUGAUUAAAAAAUUAAGUUACUUUAGGGAUAACAGCGUAAUUUUUUUGGAGAGUUCUUAUCGAUAAAAAAGAUUGCGACCUCGAUGUUGGAUUAAGAUAUAAUUUUGGGUGUAGCCGUUCAAAUUUUAAGUCUGUUCGACUUUUAAAUUCUU
rnacentral:rRNA from 1 species